ACAAAAUAAAUGGAGUGAAGUAGUAUACAAAACAUAAAUAACACAAUUUUCUUUUAUAUAAGAUUUGUAUUGUACAAAGUAUGCAAAUAAACAGAUGACUUAUUAAAUCUUUAAGAAUAAAUUUAUAUUGCCUUUAUAUUGUACUUAUAAAAUUGUCAUUAAGGAGGAUCUAAAAACAUAGUUAAAAUAAUUAUUUACAAACAUAAAAUAAAGAUUUAGCUUCUACUUCACUCCUCUGUUUAUAUAUUUAUAGAUUUAGACAUAUUACCUAUAACAGAGAGCAUGUACAUAUUAUAUGCAUAUGCAUAUUAUAGAAAAUAUAAUGCCAGUCAUUGAUGACCACCAUGGUCUCAUUGUGAGAACAUGUGGUUACGGAUGAUUACCGUGGCAGUCAACAUGUUAAAGACUACGAAACACAUA